AACGUGGCUCAGCUGGUAGAGCAACGCACUCGUAAUGCGUAGGUCAGCGGUUCGAAUCCGCUCGUUG
rnacentral:tRNA from 1 species